rnacentral:rRNA from 5 species
AGCGCUGUGGAACCACCCGAUCCCAUCCCGAACUCGGAAGUGAAACGCAGCUGCGCCGAUGGUAGUGUGGCUCAAGCCAUGCGAGAGUAGGUCAUCGCCAGGG